rnacentral:rRNA from 2 species
GGGUUGUGAGGUUAAGCGACUAAGCGUACACGGUGGAUGCCCUGGCAGUCAGAGGCGAUGAAGGACGUGCUAAUCUGCGAAAAGCGUCGGUAAGGUGAUAUGAACCGUUAUAACCGGCGAUGUCCGAAUGGGGAAACCCAGUGUGAUUCGUCACACUAUCGUUAACUGAAUACAUAGGUUAACGAGGCGAACCGGGGGAACUGAAACAUCUAAGUACCCCGAGGAAAAGAAAUCAACCGAGAUUCCCCCAGUAGCGGCGAGCGAACGGGGAGCAGCCCAGAGUCUGAAUCAGCUUGUGUGUUAGUGGAACGGUCUGGAAAGUCCGACGGUACAGGGUGAUAGUCCCGUACACCAAAAUGCACAGGUUGUGAACUCGAAGAGUAGGGCGGGACACGUGGUAUCCUGUCUGAAUAUGGGGGGACCAUCCUCCAAGGCUAAAUACU